UACGUAGGGGGCGAGCGUUGUCCGGAAUCAUUGGGCGUAAAGCGCGUGUAGGCGGCCCGGUAAGUCCGCUCUGAAAGUCAAAGGCUCAACCUUUGAAAGCGGGUGGAUACUGCCGGGCUAGAGUCCGGAAGAGGCGAGUGGAAUUCCUGGUGUAGCGGUGGAAUGCGCAGAUAUCAGGAGGAACACCAACGGCGAAGGCAGCUCGCUGGGACGGUACUGACACUGAGGCGCGAAAGCGUGGGGAGCGAACAGG
rnacentral:rRNA from 1 species